rnacentral:rRNA from 1 species
GACGUAGGGCGCGAGCGUUGUCCGGAUUUAUUGGGCGUAAAGAGCUCGUAGGCGGCUCGUUGCGUCGGCUGUGAAAACCCGCAGCUCAACUGUGGGCUUGCAGCCGAUACGGGCGGGCUGGGAUUCGGUAGGGGAGACUGGAAUUCCUGGUGUAGCGGUGAAAUGCGCAGAUAUCAGGAGGAACACCGGUGGCGAAGGCGUGUCUCUGGGCCGAUAUCGACGCUGAGGAGCGAAAGCGUGGGGAGCGAACAGG